ACGAACGCUGGCGGCGUGGAUAAGACAUGCAAGUCGAACGAGAGAAUUGCUAGCUUGCUAAUAAUUCUCUAGUGGCGCACGGGUGAGUAACACGUGAGUAACCUGCCCCCGAGAGCGGGAUAGCCCUGGGAAACUGGGAUUAAUACCGCAUAGUAUCGAAAGAUUAAAGCAGCAAUGCGCUUGGGGAUGGGCUCGCGGCCUAUUAGUUAGUUGGUGAGGUAACGGCUCACCAAGGCGAUGACGGGUAGCCGGUCUGAGAGGAUGUCCGGCCACACUGGAACUGAGACACGGUCCAGACACCUACGGGUGGCAGCAGUCGAGAAUCAUUCACAAUGGGGGAAACCCUGAUGGUGCGACGCCGCGUGGGGGAAUGAAGGUCUUCGGAUUGUAAACCCCUGUCAUGUGGGAGCAAAUUAAAAAGAUAGUACCACAAGAGGAAGAGACGGCUAACUCUGUGCCAGCAGCCGCGGUAAUACAGAGGUCUCAAGCGUUGUUCGGAAUCACUGGGCGUAAAGCGUGCGUAGGCUGUUUCGUAAGUCGUGUGUGAAAGGCGCGGGCUCAACCCGCGGACGGCACAUGAUACUGCGAGACUAGAGUAAUGGAGGGGGAACCGGAAUUCUCGGUGUAGCAGUGAAAUGCGUAGAUAUCGAGAGGAACACUCGUGGCGAAGGCGGGUUCCUGGACAUUAACUGACGCUGAGGCACGAAGGCCAGGGGAGCGAAAGGGAUUAGAUACCCCUGUAGUCCUGGCAGUAAACGGUGCACGCUUGGUGUGCGGGGAAUCGACCCCCUGCGUGCCGGAGCUAACGCGUUAAGCGUGCCGCCUGGGGAGUACGGUCGCAAGAUUAAAACUCAAAGAAAUUGACGGGGACCCGCACAAGCGGUGGAGUAUGUGGCUUAAUUCGAUGCAACGCGAAGAACCUUACCUGGGCUUGACAUGUAAUGAACAACAUGUGAAAGCAUGCGACUCUUCGGAGGCGUUACACAGGUGCUGCAUGGCCGUCGUCAGCUCGUGUCGUGAGAUGUUUGGUUAAGUCCAGCAACGAGCGCAACCCCUGUUGCCAGUUACCAGCACGUGAAGGUGGGGACUCUGGCGAGACUGCCCAGAUCAACUGGGAGGAAGGUGGGGACGACGUCAGGUCAGUAUGGCCCUUAUGCCCAGGGCUGCACACGUACUACAAUGCCCAGUACAGAGGGGGCCGAAGCCGCGAGGCGGAGGAAAUCCUAAAAACUGGGCCCAGUUCGGACUGUAGGCUGCAACCCGCCUACACGAAGCCGGAAUCGCUAGUAAUGGCGCAUCAUCUACGGCGCCGUGAAUACGUUCCCGGGUCUUGUACACACCGCCCGUCACAUCAUGGAAGCCGGUCGCACCCGAAGUAUCUGAAGCCAACCGCAAGGAGGCAGGGUCCUAAGGUGAGACUGGUAACUGGGAUG
rnacentral:rRNA from 1 species